GGGUAGAUGGCAGAGUGGUCUAAUGCGUUAGUCUUGAAAACUAAAGUGUUCCAAACACCGUGGGUUCGAAUCCCACUCUAUCCU
rnacentral:tRNA from 1 species